rnacentral:rRNA from 1 species
UACGGAGGGUGCAAGCGUUAUCCGGAUUCACUGGGUUUAAAGGGUGUGUAGGCGGCUUUAUAAGUCAUUGGUGAAAGCUCGCAGCUUAACUGUGAAACUGCCAAUGAAACUGUUUAGCUUGAAUGUGGUUGAAGUGGGCGGAAUACAACAUGUAGCGGUGAAAUGCUUAGAUAUGUUGUAGAACACCGAUUGCGAAGGCAGCUCACUAAGCCAAUAUUGACGCUGAGGCACGAAAGCGUGGGUAGCAAACAGG